GCACCGGUGGUUGAAUGGUACAAUUGGGCGUUGCCAACGCUUAGGCUCGGGUUCGAUUCCCGAUCGGUGCA
rnacentral:tRNA from 1 species